UUCUUCGGUCCGAUCUCCCUGUGCUGAGGAUGUAGCCAAGCAGCAGCUGUGACCUUUCAAAGUUAAGAGUCACCAUGGGGACCCUUCCAAAGCGAUGGACCCCCUGCUUUUCAGCAAAUGAAGCCACUUACCCAUGAUGCUCAUGCUGGGGCUUGUGGAAGAACAUGAUGAAUAGGUGAAAAGGCUCUACUGGAGGAAGAUCCUUUUUGAAGCUCACUCAGAUGGCUGUUGGAAAAUGAGCCAUCAGCUCUUGAGGGCUAUUUACCAGAGACAUCAGUUCUUUCCAUAGGGCAAUUCCUUCAUGCUCUCUCUGAGCCACAUGAGACAACGUGUCACUGUUGAAGCACAACCUCAUAAUUCACAAUUGCUCCAUGCUUGCUUCAGGGAAAUGACCUUAGCAGUAACUCAGAGCUCCUAGGUCAAAGAGGAAUUACAAAUGCUUGUAUAAAAAAUUCUUUAACAUGUUUGUUGCCCUCUAUGUUAUAUAAAUAUUAAAGUCUGAAAGCUUUCUU